UACGUAGGGUGCGAGCGUUGUCCGGAAUUAUUGGGCGUAAAGAGCUCGUAGGCGGUCUGUUGCGUCCGCUGUGAAAACUCGGGGCUUAACCCCGAGCCUGCAGUGGAUACGGGCAGACUAGAGGUAGGUAGGGGAGAAUGGAAUUCCCGGUGUAGCGGUGAAAUGCGCAGAUAUCAGGAGGAACACCGAUGGCGAAGGCAGGUCUCUGGGCCACUACUGACGCUGAGAAGCGAAAGCAUGGGGGAGCGAACAGG
rnacentral:rRNA from 1 species